rnacentral:rRNA from 1 species
GUCUACAGCCAUGCCACCCUGAACAAGCCCAAUCCCGUCUGAUCUCGGAAGCUAAGCAGGGUCGGGCCUGGUUAGUACUUGGAUGGAAGACCACCUAGGAAGAUCAGGUGCUGUAGGCU